ACGGAUCUCUUGGUUCUGGCAUCGAUGAAGAACGCAGCGAAAUGCGAUAAGUAAUGUGAAUUGCAGAAUUCAGUGAAUCAUCGAAUCUUUGAACGCACAUUGCGCCCAUUAGUAUUCUAGUGGGCAUGCCUGUUCGAGCGUCAUUUCAACCCUUAAGCCCUGUUGCUUAGCGUUGGGAGCCUACGGA
rnacentral:rRNA from 1 species